AUUGACAAUACAAAAUGCUACAGGAAACUUUGGAACCUUGAUAUUCCUUCCAAAAUAAAAAAUUACAGCUUGAAAAACUGCUUUUAAUUAUCUUCCUACUUUAGUGAAUCUUCGAACAAAGAGAUUAACUACUGAGGCUGUUUGGCCAAGAUGUAUACAAGGGUUGGAAACAAAGGAACACAUUUUUCGUGAUUGUUCUGUUACAAAGGAGACAUGGGAAUAUUUAGAUUAUGUCUGGUCACAAGAAAUGUCACAACUUGAGUUUAUGGAUUGGUUUACCUGGGUUUUGCUAAACAGUAGGGUGGAUGUGUGUCGAAUGUUUGUUUGUGCCAUUUGGGCUAUCUGGACUGGCAGAAGUCAAUGGAUUCAUGAGGGGCGAAAGAAAUUUGGAGCAGAGACAGAGAAGUUCAUUAAGCAAUAUAUUCAUGAAUUAAUAGAGCUUGAUAGAAAAAGUAUUGCCCUGAGCUCGAACUCUGAUAGAUGGAGACCACCGCAGCAAGAGUUCUUUAAAAUAAAUUUUGAUGCUGCUUUUGAUAUCAAGGAAAACAGAUCCUGCUCAGGAAUCAUAGUCAGAAUUUUAAAGGAGAUAUUUUGGCUUUUAAUACUACGGUUUAUGAGAAUAUACCUUCAGUUUUUGUAGCUGAGGCCAUUGCUUGUUUGUAGGCGGUUACUGUGGGUAGAGAUUUGGGGAUUAGGCAUGUUGUGAUUGAAGGUGAUUCUUUGACGGUAAUCAAUAAAGUUUAAAAUACAGAGAGGGACAAAACGGUAAUAGAACCUUUUCAUGAUGUUAAAAAUCCGAGUGAGGUUUUUCAUGGUUGUAAGUCUCAACAUGCAAGACAACUAGCAAAUGAAUCUGCUAAUUGUUUG
rnacentral:lncRNA from 1 species